GCAGAGAAGCAGCCAAUCAGAGGGGCCGCUGGAGGGGAAUAAGAAGGAGUGACCAAUAAGGGGCCAGAUAAAAGGCAAGCAGCAAAACAGAGUCUUCAGUUGCUGUGUGGAGCUUGAUGAGGGAGAACUGGGUGCCUGGCUGGCUAGACAAACAGGAGCAGGACCAUAGACAGCUCACUGCAAAGAGCUCACCAGACAGAACCACCCAGGGAAGGUUGCCAAAGACUGUGUGCCUGGCUGGCUGGCUAGAAUAGCAGCAGGACCAUGAAAAGGUCAGUGUGGGAACUGAGCACAGAACCUGACCAGACCAGAUAAGGGUACCGAGAUGAGUCCUGCUAGUCUGGUUGCAGACUGAGCCCAGGGAGGGCUGCUGAAAAAGACAGCAGCUGAGGGUACCAAGAUGGGCUCCGGCUGGGUGGCUGAAGAAGGCAGUGCCUCUGGGGAAAAAGCCUAAGAACUACAGCCCCAUACCAGGGCCAGGAUAAGAACUCUGGAUUCUAUACUCUGGAAGUGGGGACAGCGUAUGCAACUUGGCUAGAGGGCUGAGUUGCCGAAGACAAGUUGAGAGAACCAUUGGCUGGGGGUUGCUCACAAGAGGUGGGUGCCACCCUGUUGAAAAAACUAAAACCAAACGCAGGGUCACACCCAACCAACCAAAGGGGACCCCCGCAUGAUGUGAGUGCCACCCCUGAAAAGAACUGUGACUGCAGGUACAUUGGCCAAAGAAAGGGGGAACUCAUGAGAGGCGGGUGCCAACCCCAUUACAAAGACCAUGCAUGGAUAAGCUUUGCAAGAACUCAGUUGGAAGAGAGCAACGUUUAAGGGAUUUUCUGCAAAAGGAUUUUGCUGUAUAUGAAAGACUAGGAAUUACCUCCACAGCAGCUCAGUCUCAGCCUCAGUUUGUUUGCAUUGAACCUUAGAAGAUUUGGUCUCCUGACAGCAGCUGCUUGGCAGAAUGAGGGAAUGGAGCUGUGUGCUGGAGAAGAAAACAAGAUAAAUCACAAGGGAAGGAUAAAGUAAGAAACCUCCAUGCAACAGCCAGAAAGCUGAGGGAGGGAUAAGGGGACACAAACCAACCCUUGCAGCAACCAGGAAACUUCUGAAUGAGAGCAAUGAACAGAGACUACUCAUGCUUGCUUCACACAGCAGGCUGGGGGCUGGAAGGUGUUGGCUUCUCACCUGGGUAAUGACAUGGGACAGUAGGAAGUUCUCAUCUUUCACAGACAUUUGGCUAGCGGGAUUAGUCCUCUGUCUGUGAUGUGUAUGGUAAAAUUUCACCACUUCUAUGUGUGAGUAGGUGUGUAGUAGUGGGGGCAUGGAUGGGUGUAGAAUACGAGAGGGCACUGGAGGGAAGUGAGAGAAGAAAGAUGAGAGAAAAUGUAAGGGCUUUGAAUCAGCCAGAAUAGGGAUUCAAAGCUGGAUCUAUAGGAGUGCCCUAAUGACUAGGCCAGGGCUACACACAGGCCCAGAAGGACUUUUAUGUAGGGCUCAAUCUGGUGGACUCAGGUGGUGCCUACUGGAUUGGGCCCUACAGGGGAAAUAGAUGGGGAAAAGCCUAGCUUGAGACUCUUGCCAGCACUUAGUUGCCAAGUGAAAGGAUGUAGGUGGCUCCACUUGUACCCAGUGGCAAAAGCUUAAGCACCUAGGAACUUCAGCUGGCAGUUGAGCAAUGUUUUUUUGUGAAUGGGAGUGGGCCGAAGUGUUGGUCUUAGGCACCUUCAGAGGGAGUUAACCACCUAAGUCCUUUUGUGAAUCUAGCCAUUAGGGGGUGGUGCCUUCCUGCUGUUUAUUGUUGUCAUACUCAGCGCUGAUAGUAUUUGCAGCAUGCAAAUGAGUGUGCCAAAGGAGAGACAUGUUUCUCUGACUGCAUAGACCACCAGAGAGAUUGAACAGACUAUGCAUCGUAAUACUGAUUGUCAGAUUUUUCCACUUCAGAGAUCCCUCUGAAUCGUACUACUGUUUUGUAUCUGUGCACACUACUGCAUGAUGAACUAGAAAAUGCUGCUAAUACUAAGCAGGUACUGUUUGUUCCCCACUAUGUGCUUGCAGCACUUUGUCUAUAGGAAUGUAUCACUUCAACAGGGCUUGUGCUUCUUAUACAAAUGAUACCUUUGUGAGGGUCCCGCUGUCCAUUACUAUUUCAGCUGUUGCCAUGACCUUCAAUUUUUUUUAUGGAAGGAAGGAGGUAUUAACAACUCCCAGAUAAUGUAUCAGAGCCAGCGUUGUACACUUCUAUAUAACCUGAUGCUGACCUCCCCCUACUGCAAUGGACUGGCAUGUGGUUUCAUAUCAAAGGGACACCUUUUACUAUUACUAAAAUAUUUAAUUUGUCAUACCCCCAGGCAUCAUAAAAACCAGGGUCCUAUUAGGGUGGGCCUAAGCAAGCACAGACGUUUCCUGUUGACGGGGAGUAUGGGAAACGGGCCACCACUUAUCUUAUGUGCACGGCUGCAGCGUGCACCUGUACAGCUGGCUACUAGCGCUCAUGCCCCGUUGCCUGAGCGUCCUUUCCUGGACGGUUGGUCCUGGUACUCACGGGCGAUCACCGCUCCCUGGCUUCCUGUGCUUCCUACCACGACGGUUCCACAAACCUCCCUGCCUAGCCCAGUGUCCCCCGGUACCCGUGUUGGGCCCGCUGCCCCAGUACCGGCCCCCUGCU